rnacentral:rRNA from 2 species
UCGACCUGAGGUCAGGCAAGAACACCCGCUGAAC